GAGACUCUAGUAUAAACAAUACAUGACCCUGUCAGCAUCAAAAUAUAGGGGCACCCUAUGAGUCUUA
rnacentral:tRNA from 1 species